UUAAUACUACACUUUCAAAGAUCAUUUCCAUAGAUCCUCCCUAAGAAAGGUGUUUCGAAAGUGUUGUGUCUCCCAAAUCAUGAUGAAUAGUGUUGAUGCUCUUUUCUGAAGGUGAAAAGAAAUGACUUGUCUCAUUAGUUCUACAUCGUUGAUGACAGUUUCUGACUGUUUAAAGCAGUUUUGGAGGGAAAGAGUAUGAGUUGAGGGGU
rnacentral:snoRNA from 1 species